UGCUAUGUAGCUCAGGUGGUCAGAGCGCAGGUCGCAGUAAUGCACCCAAAAAGAAACGGGUCGGAGGUUCGAGUCCUCCCAUAGCAA
rfam:Dysgonomonas mossii DSM 22836 genomic scaffold supercont1.3, whole genome shotgun sequence.